rnacentral:rRNA from 1 species
UACAGAGGUCUCGAGCGUUGUUCGGAUUCAUUGGGCGUAAAGGGCGCGUAGGCGGCGUGGUAAGUCUGGUGUGAAAUCCUGGAGCUUAACUCCAGAAAUGCACUGGAUACUGCCAUGCUAGAGGACUGGAGAGGAGAUUGGAAUUCACGGUGUAGCAGUGAAAUGCGUAGAUAUCGUGAGGAAGACCAGUGGCGAAAGCGAAUCGCUGGACAGUGCCUGACGCUGAUGCACGAAGGCUAGGGGAGCAAACGGG